GACCUCAGUUCAGACAAGGCUACCCGCCGAAUUUAAGCAUAUUACUAAGCGGAGGAAAAGAAAAUAACAAUGAUUCCCCUAGUAACGGCGAGCGAACCGGGAAGAGCCCAACUUGAAAAUCUGGAGGCUUGUCCUUCCGAAUUGUAGUCUAGAGAAGUGCCAUCUGCGGCUGGCUGGUCGAAAGUUCCCUGGAAAGGGACGUCAGAGAGGGUGAGAGCCCCGUCACGAUCGGUUAAGUCGCUCCACGAUGCGCUUUCGAGGAGUCGGGUUGUUUGGGAAUGCAGCCCUAAGCGGGAGGUAAAUUCCUUCUAAGGCUAAAUAUUGGCGAGAGACCGAUAGCGAACAAGUACCGCGAGGGAAAGAUGAAAAGACCUUUGAAAAGAGAGUUAAAAAGUACCUGAAAUUGUUGAGGGGGAAGCGAUUGAAACCAGCG
rnacentral:rRNA from 1 species